UCCAAGUCUAAACUUAGAUCUCGACUAAACUGUCCCCAUUCAGGUGCACUUUCAUCUUUUUGAGACAAAAGACCACCAAUGGCCACUAUUGCUAGAGGUAAAUCUUUACACUUUCUGACAAUUUCAAGAGAUAUAUCUUUAAGUUCUUCUGGACAAUCUCCAUCGGAACUAUACUGAAAUGCCUUCUUACAGAACAAUUUCAAAGAUUCUUCUUCAGUUAAAGGUUUUUCUAGGUUAUGCACCUCAACAAAUGAUGAUUUCCUACAAUAUUCUGCAACCUUCUCAUCCCUGGUUGUGAUUAAUAUCCUACUUCCAUUUUUAUUAUCAAUUACAGCAGAUUCAAUGUGAUCCCAAAAUGUUUCAUUCCAUACGUCAUCAAACAAGACAACAUACCUCUUGUUGCGCAAGCGGUUUCUGACUUCUUUUGUCAACGACUCGAUGGUAGAAACAUCCUUGGGAGGGUCCUCAUUUUUUUCUUUGCAAAGCUCAUUCAACAUAUGUGUCAGCAAUCCUACAGCAGAGAAGGAUUGAGAAACUGUGAUCAACGCAUGGCACUCGAAAUUGUUACGCACCUGGUCAUAAACUUGCUUGGCAAGAGUUGUUUUUCCCACCCCUGCAAUUCCCACCACGGAGAUGACUGUGCGUUGUUCUCUUCCAUUUGUCAACCAAUAUUUCAAUGUAGCUCUAUCGUUAUCGAGCCCCACAACCUCAUCCUCCUCAAUAAAGAGAGGAUCCAUUCGAAGUUUCUGCCAGGUGGCAUCUUGAUUUCCUCUAGAACUAGUUGAUCUUUUCUCUAAAGGAAAAUGGCGUUGGAAACCAUCUCUUUCAGCACGAACAAGCAAUUUAACAUCCUGAAUCUUAUACGCACUUUGAAGGCGAAGGAUUUGAGUUUUGAUGAAGGCAACAGCCUCACAUAGUAAAGCUGCACAUCGAGGAUCAUCAGGUUGCUUAUCCUUACAGGAGAUGUUAUAUUCAUCGAUGAUAUCUUCCAUGCGAAAAGCUGCUUCUCUCAGCCGCAUCACCCUUUCUUUUAUUUUAUGACGCUUUCCAUCAUCUUGUUCAGCUUCAGCCACUUUAUCAGCAUCAUUGAUGAAAUCUUGAAAGCUUUCAAGUUCAUCUGUAAUGUCUAUAACUUCUUUUGGGAGACCUCUCAGCAUUUUGACAGCUUCCAAUAUUUUUGGAAGCGCAUGCUGACCAGCCAAGGACACUGCAGUUUCUGCCAUUUUAGUCUUGCUAGCUAGCUCUGUUUUUCUGGUUUGUUGUGAGUGCAAACUUGAUGUUCUGCAACGUUAUAUAGCCAAUAAAUGUACUUAGCCAAACAAUGACACGGACACUGUUUAUGAUAAUAUCUUAACCAUAUAAUUUCAAUAAAAUUUUAAAAUUAACAUGAAUCUCUAUUUAUAAGUUCUAGAGUCAUGAUUAACAGGCGUCGGUUAUCAGAUUUUUUUUUAUAAAUUCUUUUUAUCUAUAUCAUACGGAGAUGAUAUUUUGUAACUUAGUGCACUGUGUACGCGGAGACGAAGACUUUGAGCUUUGCAGCGUCUCUUUUGCGAGCAAGUUGUGAUAUUGUGGUCCAGCUAAUGUGAAAAUGUGAUUAUCAGAUUAUUUGUUUUAAAGGAAUAAUUUCAUUUUGAUUAUUCAUUUAGCACUUAAGGCUCAUAAUUUUGUAAACCACUUUUCGCCCCUAACAGUUCGUAUAUAUAUGCUAGCUUUGCCGCUAAUAAUUGUAUACAGAUGAUUUUCUUCUACCCCGUUUUAGGAUGAAUUGAAAUGGAAAGAUGAGAGAAAAAAGAAAAAAGAUACAGAGACAAAGUGAUAUAUGCGAUAAGUAAUAUAUUAAAAAGGAAGGAGCUAGCUAAGUAAAAAAAAAUGGUGGAUGUGAGAUGAAAGACAAAGGGGAUGAAUGAUUAGUAUUUUUGACAGACAUAAUAUACUUUUGGCCCUUAAAUUUUUUGAAUUUUUUAUUUAAUCUUUAAUAAAAAAAAAUUGACUUUUUGUCCUUCUAAUUUUUUUUGAUAAAAUAUUUUUUUAUCCUUAAAUUUCUUAUAAUUUAUGAUUUUGAUCCUUAAAUUAUUUUACCACCUAUCAACAUUCCUAAACUUUUCCGUGUCCAAUGUUUUAUCCUUUUUAUCUAUUUUAAUUUGCAUUUAAAUGAAUAAAUUUAUGUUAGAAUGAACACAACAAUCAGUCAUAUCAUACACGAAAUUUAUAUAUUAGGAGCAUAAAACUAGAAUAUUAGAUUAUAUAUAUAUAUAUAUAUAUAUAUAUAUAUAUAUAUAUAUAUAUAUAUAUAUAUAUAUAUAUAUAUAUACGCACACUUACUCUCUCUCUCUCUGAUCUAUAUAAUAUAUAUAUAUAAACUAGAAUAUUAGAUGUAAUACUGCAAAAAAAAAAAACGUUUGAGGAAAUUAAAUAUAUCAUGGGAAACAAGGUGCCAAACUUGAGAUGAAACUUAAUUUGUUGUCAUCUCAGCCUGUGAAAAAUAGAUCAUACUAGUCAAAAGAAUUCCUCAAUACAAUGCAAUCAAUAAUAAUCAUUUAACAGUCCUUUGCACAUGCCUUCUCGGCUUGUUUUGUCAUUUCUCAAUCUAGCUGUCUUUCAAAUUGAAGAUGCCACCUAAAACACAUUAUUGUCUCAGCUAUCUUUGGGUCUACCAGUGUGCGAAUAUUAAUUAUAACUAAUAAUUAUUUUUUAUUUAUCCAAAACAACUGAAAAAGACAUUAUAUUACUUCAGAAGUAAAGAUACAAUAAAUAAAUUAUGUAAGGAACCAUUUUACAACUUGUAAAAAAUAAAAUACCAUUUUGUAACUUUUAACAAAUAGAAGCUUAAAUUACAAUAUAAAAUAGAGAUACAAGACCAACAGAGUAAUUUAGCCAUAGUUUUAUGUCUAACUCCUAUUAGUGUGAUGUAGACAAAGAGAAAUAAAGCAUACUCCAAUUCAUUUCAAGCUGAAUCGGUGCCUGUAUCUCAAACACUUCUUCUAGAAGAGAACACAAAGAGCUCUGGUCCAAUCCAUUCAAGCUGAAUCAGUGCAUGCCUGUAUCUUAAACACCUCAUAGAGUACCAAUCCCACCGGCCAGCAAGAACAUCUCAUCAAAUGAAUUGUUCCUCACUGCAGUGUCCACCAGCCUGUGCAUCCUAGGUGAGAAAAACCUGAACUCAAAAGUUAAAAUAAUCUAGGCAGCAAUUACACUCAUGAAUACUCCAAGUUAUUGAGCAUAGGUGGUAGAUUACAUGGAGUGUGGUAAUUUUUGGAUGGAAGCAUUGAUGAAAGUUAGAUGUUCUCCAUUCCGAACUUCUUUUCCUAAUGUUGAAUCUGUAACAGGUACUUAUCUAAACAUGCAAAUUAAUUUAAAUGGUAUAUUCAGAUCAAACAGCGGAAACUAAAUAUUACGAGCGUACCUCCAACCAUUGCAGAUCGAACGCGAAACGACGCAUAUUUAGUUUAAAAAUAAUUAAUUCAAGAAAUAUUAUAAAUUAAAUGUUAUAAAAAAAGAAUAAGCAUUAUUUUAAAAGUCUUAUAAAUAGGAACAAGAAAAGAAUAAUCAAUUUCAACUAAUAGAAAACAGUGUGUAAAAAAGAGCAUGUUAAAGUCUUAAAAGAACAUGCUCUUAAUAUUUUUCUUAUUAUGAUUAUGAUCUUUUUUUCUCCAUUCGAUCAAUGUAUUGAUUGCAUGUUAACCACACGCGAGGACACACAUUGGCACAAACUUUAUUAUAAUAUCUUGUAUAUUUUCAUAUCGCCUUGUGUAAGAUGAUGUUCUCACAUACUAUUCAUCCUAUUCUUGAGGUGAAAAAUUAAAAUAGGGGAAGCCAUGCCACCUCUUGUAAAGUUAAGGAAGACUGUCAAGUUAUAGCAAGUGUGGACAAAGUCUCCAUCAAAUGUGUCAACUCUUGUUAGCCUCGAGCAUGAUUAAUUAAUCUUAAUUGUACAAAUACAAUAAAUAUAAAAUUAAGUUUAAGUAAAAUAAUAAUUUAUGCUUAAUUAUACAAAUAUGAUUAACUUUUCUGGCCAUCAGGUUUUCUCGAAUACAUCUCCUUUAUCUAUAACAUAUAUUAGUGUUAUAUAUUUUGUACCCAUAAGUGUUAUAUAAAAAAUUUAUCACAUCUGUCGAGAGGAAGACUUUGAACUUUUCAGCAUCAUCUAUCUUAAAUAUACUAUGAGCAAGUUGUGAUAUUUUUCCCUUUAUUUUUGUCGUGCUAUAACAAGUUGUGAAUUUGCUAUCUAGUUAAUUGUAUACAAAUGUGAUUAAUUAAACAAUGUCAGAUGCAUUUUGUCAGAGUUAUUAUACCGAUAAAAUUUAAAUAAAAUAUCUUACACUUGUCAAAGUAUUUACCUUGCAGGUAUAUAUAUAUAUAUAUAUAUAUAUAUAUAUAUAUAUAUAUAUAUAUAUUAUUUUGAUCAUUCAUUUGGCUCUAGUGUUUUAGUUUGCGCCGAUAAUUUACACAAUUCAUCAUUUUGAGGAUUGAUCUUGAAACUGGUCUGAGAUGAUGAAUUGUCGUUGAAUAGGUCAGCCACCUGAUUUGAUCUAAUUGGCAAUAAUAAUAUGUUAUAUGAUGAGCAAGAAAUUAAAUGCUGAUCCACAGGAACAGUUUUUUUUUAACUAGGUUAACCAUUGGUGGAAGAGGGUAAUUAAGCUAUUCUAUUUACUUUUAAAAGCUAUAUACAGGCUGGUGUAUCCUUCUUAUCAUUGCAUAUGGUUUUACUCUAAGCUUUAAAAUUUACUCUCUUUUUUUCUUUCAAAAAUGGAAAUUUUUAAUCUAUUUCGUUGGUCUUUAAUUUAGGAGAACAAAAUUUGCUUUCCUAUUUUUGCGCAGGAUCGAGGAUCACCUAGUUGUCAUUAAAAUACUGGAUGAAGAUUUUCGUAGAGAGUUUAAUAGUACUAAAAGAUGCUUACAAAGAGUCUUCAGGUGAUAAAUUGACUACGAAUAAAUGUUUUGUAGAAGCAAGAUAUAGUUAAUGCGAAAAUAUAAGACUUUACUCUCUCAUCUAAUCAUAAAUGGUAUAUAUAUAUAUAUAUAUAUAUAUAUAUAUAUAUAUAUAUAUAUAUAUAUAUAUAUAUAUAUAUAUAUAUAUAUAUAUAUAUAUAUAUAUAUAUAUAUAUAUAUAUAUAUAUAUAUAUAUAUAUAUAUAUAUAUAUAUAUAUAUAUAUAUAUAUAUAUAUAUAUAUAUAUAUAUAUAUAUAUAUAUAUAUAUAUAUAUAUAUAUAUAUAUAUAUAUACCACUAAAAUGCUAUUAAAUCAUCUUCGUUUAAAAAUUCUUAUUAAAUUUUUUCUGUAAAUAAAAUACAUAUUAACUUGUUAAUUAUUAAUAUUUUAAUUUAAAAUAUAUUCUAUAUUUUAUAUUUACUUAAUUACGAAAUAUAUAUAUAUAUAAAUAAAUAAUAAAUUUAAUUAUUAAUUUUUAUAAUAAUUAUUUUAAAAAUGACAUAUACACUUAAUAUGAUUUUUUUAUUACGACAUACUUUUAUCUACAUCAAAUUGACAUCAUAUUUUUUAUCCACCCUAGUGUUUACAAAAAAAUUAGUGCAACGUCUACCUUGAGACUUGAUAGGAAGACUUUGAGAUUCCAUCAUCUCUCUUAAAUAUUUGGGCUAAUUAUUAUUAAACUUUUUCAAAAUUUAGUUUUUAAUUUUUAUUUUUUUUUCUCUUCGUCAAGAUCUUUCAACUUUUUUUUUAUCAAGAUUUUUAGUUCUUACAUUUUUAUUUGACGGGUCAAUGUCUCUCGACUUUUUUCAUUAAGAUUUUUAAUUUCAAGAGGUAAAUCUUUACACUUUCUGACAAUUUCAAGAGAUAUAUCCUUAAGUUCUUCUGGACAAUCUCCAUCGGAGCUAUACUGAAAUGCCUUCUUACAGAACAAUUUCAAAGAUUCUUCUUCAGUUAAAGGUUUUUCUAGGUUAUGCACCUCAACAAAUGAUGAUUUCCUACAAUAUUCUGCAACCUUCUCAUCCCUGGUUGUGAUUAAUAUCCUACUUCCAUUUUUAUUAUCAAUUACAGCAGAUUCAAUGUGAUCCCAAAAUGUUUCAUUCCAUACGUCAUCAAACAAGACAACAUACCUCU
rnacentral:lncRNA from 1 species